rnacentral:rRNA from 1 species
CCGGCACGGGUGAGUAACACGUAUGCAAUCCACCUGUAACAGGGGGAUAACCGGAGAAAUCCGGACUAAUACCCAUAAUAUGGGCGCUCCGCAUGGAGAGCCCAUUAAAGAGAGCAAUUUUGGUUACAGACGAGCAUGCGCUCCAUUAGCCAGUUGGCGGGGUAACGGCCCACCAAAGCGACGAUGGAUAGGGGUUCUGAGAGGAAGGUCCCCCACAUUGGAACUGAGACACGGUCCAA